GCGGCCAUAGCUCAACUGGUUAGAGCGCGGGAUUGUGAUUCCCGAGGUUGCGGGUUCGAGCCCCGUUGGUCGCC
rnacentral:tRNA from 1 species